UACGUAGGUGGCAAGCGUUAUCCGGAUUUAUUGGGCGUAAAGGGAACGCAGGCGGUCUUUUAAGUCUGAUGUGAAAGCCUUCGGCUUAACCGGAGUAGUGCAUUGGAAACUGGGAGACUUGAGUGCAGAAGAGGAGAGUGGAACUCCAUGUGUAGCGGUGAAAUGCACAGAUAUAUGGAAGAACACCAGUGGCGAAAGCGGCUCUCUGGUCUGUAACUGACGCUGAGGUUCGAAAGCGUGGGUAGCAAACAGG
rnacentral:rRNA from 1 species